ensembl:lncRNA
CUUAAAACAAUACAAAUUUAUUAUCUUACAGUUGUGGAGGUCAGAAGUCUGAAAUGGGUCUCACUGGCGAAAAUUAAAGUGUUGGCAGGACUGCGUUCCUUUCUGGAGGCUCCAGGGAAGAAUCCAUUUUUUCCCCUUUUCCAGCUUCUAGAGGCUGCCUGCACUCCUCAGCUCGCGCCCCUCUUCCAUCUUCAAAGCCAGCAAUGGCUGGUCAACGCUCAUGUUACAUCACUCCGACUCUUUGGCCUCCCUCUUCGACAUUUAAAGACUCUUGUGAUUACAUUGGAUCUAACCGGAUAACACAGGAUCAUCUUAUUUUAAGGUCAGCUACUUAACAACCUUAAUGCCAUCUGCAAACUUAAUUCCCUCUUGCCAUGUAACAACGUAUUCACAGGUUCCCAGGGAUUAGGCCGUGCACAUCUUAGGAGUGGGAGGGCACACGUUUUUCUGCCUACCACAGGAGGCCUCCCCCAACAAAGGCCACUGUGUCCUGGGACCAGUUCUUAGAGUGGACAGAGGGUGAGGCUCCCUUCUUGGAACUGUGGGGUAGGGAGUGUUAGGUAGAUACGCUAGCCCAGUCCUAGCAGCUGCCCUCAACUAGGUCACUGGCCCAAGUUAGACUUGGGAGAGUAGCUCAGUUGGGAAUAAAUAAAUGUCACAUCACCAAGGUGAGUGUCAAAGACGUUACCAGAGGGUACCUGGGCUUUAAGGGAUGCGGAGAACCUGGGAGAACCUGUGGAGGUGACAGGUAAUGCUGCUUGAGUCCGCAGAAGAGGGGGAAGGAAAGUCUGAUGGCCUGGCAGCCCAGCAGCUGGGAGACAAUAUCGGUUUUCAUCAUCCAGCAACUACCACCCACCCCACUGGGAAGGAGAGAGGUGGAGGGUUGUGCGCUGCAGCAAGGGCCUGGAGCUCAGACAGGGCUCCCCGUCUGGAUGAAGUAAUCUUUCUUUGCUCCAAGUAGCUUCUGGGAUUUGGAAUCAGUUGGACUGAGUUCAAAUACCACUGCACUAUUUACAGACUGUGUGACCCUGGGAAAAUGGCCUAACAUCUCUGAGUCUCUGGUUCCUUAUCAAAUGAGAAUAUCACAUGUUCUUCACAGUUAAGAAUCAGAAGUUCUUACAUAACAGUUAUAGAGCAGGACUGUGCGAGAGUCUGAAAGAAGCCCCAGCAUGAAUUCAUGAUAAGGCUAAUGUCUUGAGACAGACAUGGGGUUGAAUUUUGCCUUACCGUAACUGGCUGGGUGAAUGUGGGCAAGUUGUGGUGAAGCCAACCAUGAGUAAAGGCCUCAGCGUCUAGCUUGGAGCCAGCAGGCUCAUCCAAUGUAGACAAAGGCUGGCUGGCUCCUGGCCAGCUCAAGGUGUUUCCCUUUGCCUGGAAACCGGGAGGUGUGGCUGAGGCAGGCCAUGGAGGGGAGUUCAACUAAAAAGUGGUGGAGGGGAAUCCUGCUCUGGACCUCUCCGGCUCCCCCAAAUGUUGGGGACCAGUUUCUCGGGGCUGAAGGAGACAAGCGAGCGGGGAGCUACCUGGGAGGAGCAUUUCAGGGCUGAGGGCUUGAAAAAGCCUUGGGUCCUCAUUGCCUGCUGGGAGCCUGGGGUUCGGGCCCAGCCUUGGGACAACAGCCCCAGUGCAUGGUUGUAUCUCCUACUUGUAAGUCAUUCUCAUUCUAGUUCUUUUACGUGAGCCACUGCCACAGCAUGGCAACUGACAGACAGGUGGUGUGGUUCUGCGACCUGGAAGCAAACCCGGGCCACCAAAGUGGUGAGUGCCAAACUUUACCCACUAGGCCAUCAGGGCUGGCUCGAUUUUAUGUUUUAACCUUGGAGAAUUGUCUGCAUGCUGGUAAGCCUCCUCAAAUCCUUUUUGGAAACAAGGCAGGUCUCAAGUAAAUCAUGAGUCCCACACUGAAUAAGAUGUGUUCUGUGUCCCCUUCCCUCUCUAUCCUCUGAGUCCAGACCCCUGAAGUCUCCCAGCUUCCCCCAUCUCUGAACAACUUCUGCACUGCUCACAGACACUCCCCCCAAGGCUUCCACUUAUGCCUUGAAAUGCCCACAGGCUGCAUACAAGUUUACCUCUAUCCCCCAGGCCUGGUGAGGGAGGGCAGCCCCUGAUUACAGGCUUUUUGAAGAAGGUGCUGUCACUCAGCCCAGCCUAGCAUGCCACACACGUACUUCCAACCCCAGUGCAUGCUCUCCAGGCCCUGUAGACGUAAGGGAGCCCUGCAGGGAGCCUAGAUGCUUCCUUCUUUGAACUGAACCCUUAGAAGCUUAGAACUCAUAAAACAUCUGGGCUGCCAGGGACCUUACUGUUCACCUGCCCCAACCCCCUCGAUGUACAUUAUGCUUGGAAACCAAGGCCAGAGAGAAGGAGUGACUCACCCAAGGUCACACAGUAGGUGAGAAUCCAGAGCUCCUAGAUCCCAGCAGGGCUUGGACCACCAAACCCUGAUCCUGAUGGCCUCUUCCUCCUGGCCCCAGUGUUACCCAACCCUGGCAUCUGGUCUGGAGCCCUUCACUCAAUAAACCCUGACUGACAAAUUUUAAGUCCUAUCCUACCUCCCAACUGGAUAGCUCACAUUCUACUUAAGGGAGGAUAAUAAGAAUCAUAACAACCUCACACACUUAACUGAGAACCUACUAUGUGCAGGCACUGAGCUAAAGCCCUGUAUGGAAACUAUCAGCUCACUUAGUUUAAUGUUCACAAAAGCUUGAUGUGGAUAUAAUUAUUACAGAUGAGGAAACUGAGGGCUAUAGAGGUUAACAACUUACCCAAGGUCACACGUGGAAAAUGCAACUGGGAAAUCUGAUUAGCUUUAACCUCUAGGCCAAAGUGCCUCUCAUAUACAUGAGACACACUCAGCAAAAUGCAAGGAAAACUUAUUGAACAGCUACUAUGUGCAGAACCCUGGGCUAGAUAUUAUGGGGCUCAUGAAUCGAGCCCCACUGGAGAGGAGUGGGGGGAUUUGCAGAAGAUAAUAUGUACCGCUGGGGAGUUGAGAGAGGCUUCUUGGAAGAGGCAUCUGAGAGAGGCUUUGAAGGAUGUAUAGGAUUCCAACGGAUAGUGAUGGGAAGGAGGUGUCCCCAGAAGAAUUGAGGAAGGGUCAGCAUGAGUACAAGCAUGGAGGGCAGGUUACGAGCAGGGAGCAAUGGAAGAUCAGGCUUCUAAGUGGAAAAACUUUAAUGGCAAGGUAAGGAGGUUUGGGGAGCCAUCAAAGUCUUUGAGCAGAAGAGUAACCCAAGUUGCAGUUAUUAAAAGAUCUGCCCAGUGGCAGGAUGGGUGCCUGGAGGAGCGCCUUGCUGGGAUGCUAUGAACCUGAGCCAGCGGCUUCCCCCUGACCUCAGUAUUGAUGGUGUAGCACAGCCGGGCACCAGAACUGAGUCCCUAGGGCAUUUGCUGGAGCUCACAGCCUAUGGAAUUCAGUUCUCAGAGCCAGGUGGCCAAAGUUCUCUCAGUCUUGAUGCUGCCCUCCCAUGCUCUCUUCUGGGAAUUUUUCCCAUUUCCAGGAUGGGUCAGAUGAGGAACCUGGGAUUCCAAGAUUCCUCCUAUCCCAGGGAGGGUCUGAGCUUGGACCUGAAAAUAGGGCCCCACAGUUAGGGAAAGGGCAAGGGUUCUCUAAAUUCCAACAGGAAUUGAUGUAGGACAUGAGGGGAGGGGGCUCAGGGGCUCAG